CUCUCCUGGCGUUUGUGAAGAUUACCUGAGACAACAAGACGUCAUCGUCCUCUCUUGAGAUUCUACCUCUGGUAGCCGAACUCAUGAAUAUUCAUCGCAGUAUUUCAUUUCACAUUUCAUCAUAUUCCAGAACAAUAGGACCCUUCUGCCACAGAUACACCCUUCAUAUGUGGAGAAGAAUGGAGUUGCAGUAAACCAGGCCAGCAAUGCCAGUAAUCUGCAGUGAGGUUGUUAUAGUGGAAAUAAAAGUAAUCCAAG